GUUGUGGUUAAAGCUCGUAGUUGAACCUUGGGCCUGGCUGGCCGGUCCGCCUCACCGCGUGUACUGGUCCGGCCGGGCCUUUCCCUCUGUGGAACCCCAUGCCCUUCACUGGGUGUGGCGGGGAAACAGGACUUUUACUGUGAAAAAAUUAGAGUGCUCCAGGCAGGCCUAUGCUCGAAUACAUUGGCAUGGAAUAAUAGAAUAGGACGUGUGGUUCUAUUUUGUUGGUUUCUAGGACCGCCGUAAUGAUUAAUAGGGACAGUCGGGGGCAUCAGUAUUCAAUUGUCAGAGGUGAAAUUCUUGGAUUUAUUGAAGACUAACUACUGCGAAAGCAUUUGCCAAGGAUGUUUUCAUUAAUCAGGAACGAAAGUUAGGGGAUCGAAGACGAUCAGAUACCGUCGUAGUCUUAACCAUAAACUAUGCCGACUAGGGAUCGGACGGUGUUAUUUUUUGACCCGUUCGGCACCUUACGAGAAAUCAAAGUGCUUGGGCUCCAGGGGGAGUAUGGUCGCAAGGCUGAAACUUAAAGAAAUUGACGGAAGGGCACCACCAGGGGUGGAGCCUGCGGCUUAAUUUGACUCAACACGGGGAAACUCACCAGGUCCAGACACAAUGAGGAUUGACAGAUUGAGAGCUCUUUCUUGAUUUUGUGGGUGGUGGUGCAUGGCCGUUCUUAGUUGGUGGAGUGAUUUGUCUGCUUAAUUGCGAUAACGAACGAGACCUUAACCUGCUAAAUAGCCCGUAUUGCUUUGGCAGUACGCUGGCUUCUUAGAGGGACUAUCGGCUCAGCCGAUGGAGUUUGAGCAUAACAGUCUGUGAUGCCCUUAGAUGUCUGGGCGCACGCGCGCUACACUGAC
rnacentral:rRNA from 1 species